rnacentral:tRNA from 1 species
GGAGAGGUGGCAGAGUGGUCGAAUGCACCGCACUCGAAAUGCGGCGUGGGUGCAAGCUCACCGAGGGUUCGAAUCCCUCCCUCUCCGCCA